AAGCACUCUUCUAUGGCUUAACCUUCAGACAACCCUACAGGUUUGAGAACCAUUUUACAGAUAAGGAAAACCGUGACUUUCGGGCACAUGAAGUUAAGCAAGUAUACCUCAGAGCUGCUGCAACAGGCAAGCAAUACCAGAAGGGGUGCUGACAUGUGAAAUAAGACUCACUAUCCUCAUUUCACCUUUUGACAAACUCCAUAUUUAAGCAAACUUUAUAUCCAUUUUUACAUAUGUCCAAAAGUUUCUCAAGAACAUAAGAAUCUGGAAACAAAGAAAUAUAAAAAGAUUGGAGUUACUCAUAUGUCAUUGACUACACAAUUCCUACUCCCUACCAACUAAAAUGAUCAAUCUCUCUUCAAAAUUUCAGUAGAAACACUAUGCAAUCAUUAGGUGAGAAGAGGAUAUCUACCAUGCAGUAAGUCAGCUGAGUCAGAUCUGGUUCUUAAAGGUAGUGACAGGGAUUGAAGUCU
rnacentral:lncRNA from 1 species